rnacentral:rRNA from 1 species
AACGAACGCUGGCGGCGCGCUUAACACAUGCAAGUCGAACGAGAAGGCGUAGCAAUACGCUUGUACAGUGGCGAACGGGUGAGGAAUACAUGGGUAACCUACCCCCGAGUGGGGGAUAACCCGCCGAAAGGCGGGCUAAUACCGCGUACGCUUCCGAUCUUGCGGGAUUGGAAGGAAAGCUGUCCCUUGGGGAUGGCGCUCAAGGAUGGGCUCAUGUCCUAUCAGCUUGUUGGUAGGGUAACGGCCACCAAGGCAUCGACGGGUAGCUGGUCUGAGAGGACGAUCAGCCACACUGGCACUGCGACACGGGCCAGACUCCUACGGGAGGCAGCAGUGAGGAAUAUUGCGCAAUGGGCGAAAGCCCUGACGCAGCGACGCCGCGUGGGGGAUGAAGGUCUUCGGAUUGUAAACCCCUUUCGGGAGGGAAGACGGCCUUAGACAACUAAGGCGGACGGUACCUCCAGAAGCAGCCACGGCUAACUUCGUGCCAGCACGCCG